rnacentral:rRNA from 1 species
AUUCCAGCUCCAAUAGCGUAUACUAAAGUUGCUGCAGUUAAAAAGCUCGUAGUUGGAUUUCUGGUCGUGGUCGCCGGUCGUGCCCAAACGGGUUCUGUACCUGGCGCCCGCGUCCAUCCUCGGGGAGAGCGUGUCUGGCAUUAAGUUGUCGGGCUCGGGACCCCCGUCAUUUACUGUGAGCAAAAUAGAGUGUUCAAAGCAGGCUUAGGCCAUGAAUACAUUAGCAUGGAAUAAUAAGAUAAGACCUUGGUCUAUUUUGUUGGUUUGCAUUCCAAGGUAAUGAUUAAUAGGGAUAGUUGGGGGUAUUCGUAUUCAAUUGUCAGAGGUGAAAUUCUUGGAUUUAUGGAAGACGAACUACUGCGAAAGCAUUUACCAAGGAUGUUUUCAUCG